UACGGGGGGGGUAAGCGUUGUUCGGAAUUACUGGGCGUAAAGGGCUCGUAGGCGGCCAACUAAGUCGGACGUGAAAUCCCCAGGCUCAACCUGGGAACUGCGUCCGAUACUGGAUGGCUUGAAUUCGGGAGAGGGAUGCAGAAUUCCAGGUGUAGCGGUGAAAUGCGUAGAUAUCUGGAGGAAUACCGGUGGCGAAGGCGGCAUCCUGGACCGACAUUGACGCUGAACGGCGAAAGCUAGGGGAGCAAACGGG
rnacentral:rRNA from 1 species